CUGCUGUGGGCUGAUCCAGUGGAUAUGGGCGUCAAUGCCGCCGGCCGUUAAAAUCCGGCCCUCACCCGCAAUCGCUUCGGUGCCUGGACCGACAAUAAUAUCCACAUCAGGUUGCACAUCAGGGUUGCCUGCUUUGCCGACGGCAGCAAUGCGCCCGUCACGUAACCCGACAUCGGCCUUAAUAAUGCCCCAAUGGUCAACGAUCAGCGCAUUGGUGAUGACCGUGUCAACAGCCCCAUCGGCACGCCCUAAUUGCGAUUGUCCCAUGCCGUCACG
rnacentral:sRNA from 1 species